rnacentral:lncRNA from 1 species
UCAAAUUGCAUAUGCAUAUUUUUCUGUAUCGGAUAAUGCACAAGAUGAUUUUUACGCUCCUUCUUAACAUAAACUUGAAGAAUGUUCAGUUUUAUUUGACUGGCAUAGUCACAAGGAAACCUCAAAAAUUCAUUCAACGACUCAUCAUCACUAAUAAUCCAUUCUCCAUAAUUUACCAUCCCUUGAGAUGAGAAGGAAUUUG